rnacentral:rRNA from 1 species
AGAUUGAACGCUGGCGGCAGGCCUAACACAUGCAAGUCGAGCGGUAGAGAGGUGCUUGCAUCUCUUGAGAGCGGCGGACGGGUGAGUAAUGCCUAGGAAUCUGCCUAGUGGUGGGGGAUAACGUUCGGAAACGGACGCUAAUACCGCAUACGUCCUACGGGAGAAAGCGGGGGACCUUCGGGCCUCGCGCCAUU